rnacentral:lncRNA from 1 species
UUGGUUCAACCCCAUGAAGUCAUAGCCUGGCGCACUUGUAGAGUUGGCGAAAGAACUUUGUCCGACAAUAUCUUGGUUCAACCCCAUGAAAUCAUAUCCCGGUGUGUUUAAAAGGUUGGUAAAAAAACCUUGUCCGUCUGUAUCUUGUGUCAUGAACGGAUUUGGUUCACCAGGAUCGUCCUUGAAUGGUUUUUUUCCGUAAAUAUCUUGAUUUAUGAACGGACUUGUUUCACCAGGCACUUGAUAAUUCACGCCUGGACUGAUGUAACCAACAUAAUCAUCAGUCUCUAGAUACCCGAAUGAACUAUGUCUCCAAGGCUCUUGAGUGUAAUCCUGCUCUUGAUAGUUCGUAAAUAAACUAUGCCUUGCAGGUUCUUGAGUGUAAUCCUGCUCUUGAUAGUUCGUAAAUGAACUAUGCCUUGCAGGCUCUUGAGUGUUCUUGAGUGUAAUCCUGCUCUUUAUAGUUCGUAAAUGAACUAUGCCUUGCAAGCUCUUGAGUGUAAUCAUGAUCUUGGGAGUUCCCAAACGGACUGUGCCUUGAAUAGCUUUCUCAAGUAUAUGAAGCGAAUGCACUGAAGUUCCCAAUUUUGGAGGAAACUGGUGAUAUUUUGGAGGAAAUAUCAACUAUUUAAUAUCACCACAUAGAACUUGCAGCAAUAAUAGCACGGCUCAUAUGAGCUUUUUGUGUUCAUUAUUAUACUUGCUACGAUAGCACCAAUAAUAUGAUCAUCUUUUUAGGUAAAAAUAAUAUGAUCAUGUCUUCAUUAUUGUUUGUUGUUUGCAGAGAAUGGUCAUGUCUUCAUUAUUGUUUGUUGUUUGGAUUUAAUAUCACCACGAGAUAGUUGUACACCAAUAAUUUG